rnacentral:rRNA from 1 species
GACAGAGGGUGCAAACGUUGCUCGGAAUUACUGGGCGUAAAGCGCGUGUAGGUGGAUUGGUGUGUCAGAUGUGAAAGCCCUGGGCUCAACCCAGGAACUGCACCUGAAACUACCAGUCUUGAGUGGUGGAGAGGGAAGUGGAAUUCCUGGUGUAGAGGUGAAAUUCGUAGAUAUCAGGAGGAACACCGAUGGCGAAGGCAGGUCUCUGGGCAUUAACUGACGCUGAGGAGCGAAAGCAUGGGGAGC